rnacentral:rRNA from 1 species
CCUACGGGAGGCUGCAGUGGGGAAUAUUGGGCAAUGGGCGCAAGCCUGACCCAGCAACGCCGCGUGAAGGAAGAAGGCUUUCGGGUUCUAAACUUCUUUUGUCAGGGACGAAGAACGUGACGGUACCGGACGAAUAAGCCACGGCUAAAUACGUGCCCGCAGCCGCGGUAAGAAGAAGGUGGCAAGCGUUAUCCGGAUUUACUGGGUGGAAGGGGCGUGUAGGCGGGACGGCAAGUCAGAUGGGAAAACCACGGGCUCAACCUGUGGCCUGCAUUUGAAACUGUAGUUCUUGAGUACUGGAGAGGCAGACGGAAGUCCUAGUGUAGCGGUGAAAUGCGUAGAUAUUAGGAGGAACACCAGUGGCGAAGGCGGUCUGCUGGACAGCAACUGACGCUGAGGCGCGAAAGCGUGGGGAGCAAACAGGAUUAGAUACCCCAGUAGUC